GCUUCCCAACGCGGUUGCUCCCCCGGCGGAUGUGGAGAAUGGGGCCUUUCAGAGAAGGGGGAGGCGGGGAAGGGGCGAGGCGGGGCAGGCGCUGAGCUUGGGCCUUCUCGCCACCUGCCGCCGGAGCUCAGGUCCCUAAAACCUCGAAGGCGUCGCCGCUUCUCAGGUCCUCCUCGCAGGUUGAGAGACUGCAGGGCCCCGCCCGGCGCUUCUUGAGCAACUGGAGGUUCCGGGGUGAGCAACUGGAGGUUCCGGGUUUCAGGGUCAACUUGGAUGAAGCACAGCAUACGGUGUGACAUUUCUGAUGUGACUGCUCCUGGAUUCAGAGUGUGUGGCAGGAAGAUGACCACGGCCCCUCUGUUCCCUCGCCUGUGUGCCAAAUGGAUCCACAGCUAGAGACAAGCUCUUUCCCUUUGAACGGUGGGAAGCAGGCCAAGAUGUUUUAAAGACAGAUGGCAUCAGCUGCAGAGAAGCAAGCUGGAACUCAGAGCACAGCUGCCUUAUUUACUUACCUACUGGCUGCAUUUCUGAGAACCAGUUUUUUUCCUGUUCAAAGGAAGCCAGGCAGAGUUGGGAAAAUAUUUUCCUAGCCAGCUCCUUAGCACCACUGUCUGAGGGAAACCAUCUGGCCAAGAUGCCCUUCAAAGACAAGGUCUCGCUGUGUCACCCAGGCUGGAGUGCAGUGGUGUGAUCAUAGCUCACUGUGACCUCGAACUCCUGGGCUCAAGAGAUUCUCCCGCCUCAGCCUCCCAGGAGUUGAAGAUCUCACUAUGUUGCUCAGACUGGCCUUGAACUCCUGGGCUUAAGGGAUCCUCCUGUCUCAGCCUCCUAAGUAGCAGAGACUGCAGGCUCGAGCCACUGUACCCAGACUUCUUCUUGGCGUUACAUUUUGAAUUGUUUCUACUGGUGUAUCUUGAAGUUUACUAGUCUUUUCUUCCGGAGUGUCUAAGAUGCUGUUCAUCUCAGCCAGUAUUUUUUCAUCUGUAGAAUUUAAUUCGGUCUUCUUUUAUGUUCUCCAUAUCUCUCCUUAUCACGCUCAUACAUUCUUCUACCUUUGUGAACACAUGGAGUAUAUUAUCACUUUUUAAUAUUCUGCACCACUUAAUUCUAGCACCUGUAUCAUUUCUGUUUCAAUCAAUUUAUUUUUCUUCUUAUUCUGGGUCAUAUUUUCUUUUUGUUUUGCUUUGUUUUCAGACAGGGUCUUGCUCUGUCGCCCAGGUUGGAGUGCAGUGGCACGAUCUCGGCUCACUGAAACCUCCGUCUCCCGGGUUCAAGAGAUUCUCCCACCUCAGCGUUCCGAGUAGCUGGGACUACAGGUGCACACCGCCACUCCUGGCUAAUUUUUGUAUUUUUUUUUAUAGAGAUGGGGCUUUGCCAUGUUGCCCAGGCUUGUCUUGAAUUCCUGAGCUCAAGCAGUCCGCCCGCCUCGGACUCUUAAAGUGUUGGGAUUACAGGUGUAAGCCACCGCGCCCGGCCCUGGGUCGUAUUUUCCUGCCUCUUUGUAUGCCUGUUAAGGUUUGAUUGGAUGCCAGAUGUGGCUGGAAAGGCCACUCAUGAUUAGUUACUUCUACUAAUUCUCUGACUUCAUCUCCUAAUCCCCACCCCUCUCAGGACUCUGAUUUCUCCACCCCGAACUUCUUGCACACUUCCUCGUUCAUUUGCACGUGCUGUCCCCUUUCUCUGGAGCACUCUUCCCUAGGCGGUCCCCAUGGGUUUCUCCCUAACUUCAUUUGGGUCAAAUGUCACAUUACCAAAAGCAUUCUAUCACCUUUCCUUGCUUUAUUUACCUUUAAACAUCCAGCCAUGUUACUUACUGAUUGUCUAUUUUUACCUCACCACCUACCUCUGCUAAAAUGUACCAUGACAGCAUCACCAAGAACUACUGCCAUCAGCUAUAUAAUGAAAUUAUUUUUAAGCAGCAACAACAGCAGCAGAGAAGAGGGACCAACAGGGCAAUGCAUCAGAGGGGUCCAGACUGGUAAGCACUGAAAAGUAUCUAUUGAAUCGGACAAUUAGGAGGACUAACCUCCUCAAGAGUAAGUUCCUGCAGUUUGCUGGAUAAAGGGCAUCAGAGCGCCGUGGGCUGGGCUGAGGACAUCCUCUCCCUUACAGCCUCCUGGUUCUUCUCUCAGAAAAACUUCUCCUCCUUCCCAGCUCAAUCCUAUUUACUUAUUUUAAAAUUUAUUGUGUAUAUUUAAAGUAUACAACAUGCUGUUAUAGGAUACACAUAGAUAGUAAAAUAUUUACUAUAGCAAAGCAAAUGAACAUCUCUGUCAUCUCCCCACAUAGUUACUCAUUUUUGUUGCUUUUGUGGCAAGAGCAGCUACAAUCUAGUCAUUUAGCAGGAAUCCCAAGUACAGUGCGAUUUUAUGACCUACAGCCAUCAUGGUGUACAUUAGAUCUCUCCACACACCUGUUACCUUGUAUCCUCUGACCUACAUCUUCCCAUUUCUUCCUCCCAUUCCUCCCAGCCUGCUUCCACCCCAGUAACUGCUGUUUUAUUAUCUGCAUCUGCACAUUUGAUUUUGUUUUUAGAUUCCAUAUGUAAGUGACAUCAUGCACUAUAUUUUUUUCCUAUCUGAUGCAUUUCACUCAGCAUAGUGUCUUCCAGGUUAAUCCAUGUUGUGCCAAAUGACAGGACCUUCUUUUUAAAGGCUGAAUAAUAUUCCAUUGUAUACAGAUGCCACAGUUUUUUAAAUCCAUUCCUCCAUUGACACUUGGGUGGUUCCAUAUCUUGGCUAUUGUGAAGAAUGCUGCAGUGAAAAUAGGAGUGCAGGUAUUUUUAAAAGGUGGUUAUUUCAUUUUUGGGGGGUAUAGUCACAAAACAGAGAUUGCUGGGUCUUCUGGUAGUUCUGUUUUUAAUUUCUUUAGAAACCUCCAUACUGUUUUCCAUGAUGGCUGCACCAAAUCUCCAUUCCCACCAACAGUGUACAAGGGUUCCCUUUUCUCCACACCCCUAUGACUUUUUGAUAAUAGCCAUCCUAAAGGGUCUAAAAUAAUAUCUCAUAGUGGUUUUGAUUCACAUUUUCCUGAUGAUUAAUGAUGUCAAGCACCUUUUCAUAUACCUGUUGGCCAUUUUUAUAUCUUCUUUGGAGAAAUGUCUAUUCAGGUCCCUUGCCCAUUUUAAAAUUAGGUUAUUUGUUUUUCUAUAAUUGAGUUGUGUGUGUACUUUAUAAAUUUUGGAUAUUAACCCCUUAUCAGAUAUAUGGUUUGCAAAAAUUUUUCCCAGUCCUUAAGUUGCUACUUUGUUUUGUUGAUUGUUUCCUUUGUCGUGCAGAAUCUUUUAAAUUUGAUGUAGCCCCAUUUAUUUAUUUUUGCUUUUGUAGCCUGAGCUUUUGCUGUGAUCUCCAAAAAAUCAUUGCCAGUUGGAUGCGGUGGCUCACACCUAUAAUCCCAGCAGUUUGGGAUGUGAGGCGGGAGGAUCACUUGAGUCCAGAGGUUCGAGACCAGCCUAGGCAACAUAAUGAGACGCUGUCUCUACCAAAAAGAAAAAAGAAAAAGAAAAAAAUCAUUGCCAAGGCCAAUGUCCAGGAGAUUUUCCUCCAUGUUUUCUUCUAGGAGUUUUACAGUUUCAGAUCUUGCAUUUAGGUUUUUUUA